rnacentral:rRNA from 1 species
UUUGGAAUUUUGGACAAUGGGCGAAAGCCUGAUCCAGCGACGCCGCGUGGACGAUGAAGGCCUUCGGGUUGUAAAGUCCUUUUGCUAGGGAACAAUUUUUGAGCGUACCUAGAGAAUAAGAGGUUGCUAACUCUGUGCCAGCAGCAGUCGGUAAUACAGAGACCUCAAGCGUUAUCCGGAAUCAUUGGGCGUAAAGCGUACCGAUAGGUGGCUUACAAAGUCAGAAGUGAAAUUCCAAAGCUCAACUUUGGGACUGUCUUUUGAAACUUGUAAGCUAGAGGGGUAAAGAGGAAGCUGGAACGAACGGUGUAGUAGUGAAAUGCGUUGAUAUCGUUCGGAACACCAAUAGCGUAGGCAGGCUUCUGGGUACCACCUGACACUGCUAGGACGAAAGCGUGGGGAGCGAAUGGGAUUAGAUACCCCAGUAGUCCACGCUGUAAACGAUGUACAUUAGGUGCUAGAGAGUUAUCGACCCUCUUUAGUACCACAGCUAAACGCGUUAAA